AGGGGCAGAACUUGGCGGAGGAGAGCUCAUACCCCCACCAGGUGCCCCACCGGGUGAGGUGGGUGUAGGAGCUCCUCCGGGACCAGAAGCACUUGAAGGUGUAGGAGCUCCUCCGGGACCAGGAGCACUUGAAGGUGUAGGAGCUCCUCCGGGGCCAGGAGCUGGUGAGGAUGACGGCACUGAUGCUGGUGUAGGUGCUGGACCCGCUGGUGUUUUUGGUGCUGGGGCUGGUGUUGCUGCUGCUGGUGUUUUUGCUGGCGCCGGGGCCGAAGUCGGUGGUGCAGGUGUAGUUGACGGUGUUGAUGCUGGCGGAGGUGUGGAUGAGGGUGGAGGUGUGGAUGCUGGUGGAGGUGUUGAUGGUGGCGAUGAUGCUGGUGGAGGGGUGGCUUUAGGAGCUGGAGCUGGAGCUGCACCACCUCCUGAAACGGAGACGGUCAAUUUUUGUCCCAAGGAACAGUGCUGGCCGAAG
rnacentral:lncRNA from 1 species